GACAGUGAGCAUUCAAACAUAACUUUCAUAUCUUCAAAUUUUUGCUGAGUUUGACCUUAAUCGUGUGUUCUUUCCAAGAACACAGGAGUAAUAUCAAAAUGAACCUAAAUCCUCCAAGAAAUCUCGACUUUAAAGCUUUUGGGAUUUUAGGUUUUAAAAUUUCAAUUCCAUGUUCGAAGAGCUUGGGGAAUAUUUGAAAGAAAAGCUUUGUGGAUUCUACAUGAGGGAGGCGUGGGGGUUUCAGGGUGAUAAUUUGGGUGAUUGAGAUAGGCGUCGCCUGCGGAGACGGUGCUAAUUUCUGGUAGAUCUAGCAUUUUCAAAUCUCUGAUUUGAGAGAGACGAAGAGGUG
rnacentral:lncRNA from 1 species